GACUUCGGUCCUGAGUAAAGUGGCGCACGGGUGAGUAACACGUGGAUAAUCUGCCCUUAUGAUCGGGAUAACAGUCGGAAACGGCUGCUAAUACCGGAUACGCUCAAAAUGAACUUUUUGAGGAAAGGUGACCUCUGCUUGCAUGUUACCGUAUAAGGAUGAGUCCGCGUCCCAUUAGCUUGUUGGUGGGGUAAAGGCCUACCAAGGCAACGAUGGGUAGCCGAUUUGAGAGGAUGAUCGGCCACACUGGGACUGAAACACGGCCCAGACUCCUACGGGAGGCAGCAGUGGGGAAUAUUGCGCAAUGGGCGAAAGCCUGACGCAGCGACGCCGCGUGAGGGAUGAAGGUUUUCGGAUCGUAAACCUCUGUCAGAAGGGAAGAAACCGCACUGUGCUAAUCAGCAGUGCCUUGACGGUACCUUCAAAGGAAGCACCGGCUAACUCCGUGCCAGCAGCCGCGGUAAUACGGAGGGUGCAAGCGUUAAUCGGAAUUACUGGGCGUAAAGCGCACGUAGGCUGCUUUGUAAGUCAGGGGUGAAAUCCCACGGCUCAACCGUGGAACUGCCUUUGAUACUGCUUAGCUUGAAUCCGGGAGAGGGUGGCGGAAUUCCAGGUGUAGGAGUGAAAUCCGUAGAUAUCUGGAGGAACAUCAGUGGCGAAGGCGGCCACCUGGACCGGUAUUGA
rnacentral:rRNA from 1 species